rnacentral:rRNA from 1 species
UACGUAGGGUGCAGGCGUUAAUCGGAAUUACUGGGCGUAAAGCGUGCGCAGGCGGUCUUUUAAGUCAGAUGUGAAAUCCCCGGGCUUAACCUGGGAACUGCGUUUGAGACUGGAAGGCUUGAGUGUGGCAGAGGGGGGUGGAAUUCCACGUGUAGCAGUGAAAUGCGUAGAUAUGUGGAGGAACACCGAUGGCGAAGGCAAUCCCCUGGACCUAUACUGACGCUCAUGCACGAAAGCGUGGGGAGCAAACAGG